rnacentral:tRNA from 1 species
ACCUGGCUGGCCCAGUCGCUAGAGCGUGAGACUCUUGCUCUCAGGGUCGUGAGUUCAAGCCCCAUGUUGAGUA